AAAAAAAUGCAAAAAUAAAAAUAAAAAGAAAGAGAAGGGAACGAACUCCCCUUGGGUUGCCUUCUAAGCAGCGCCUUUGUUUAUUGUUGUUGGCUCGACCCAGUAUUGCCUUCUUCAGCCUGCAUCCAACUAGGGCAUUUGCAAUCUUCUUUGCAUUGCACCAAUCUCAUUAGAGAUAAGCACCAGUGAUGUUCCAUAAUCCUGCAAAUUAUCAAAAAUAGUACAAAUAUCAGCAUACUCCCCAUCAUCAUA
rnacentral:lncRNA from 1 species